rnacentral:lncRNA from 1 species
UCAUCAUGGUAUGCAUAUGAUAGUUACUCGUCGGCAGCAGCAACAAGGGACGGAAGUGUAAACGUAGCAUUAGUAAGGUUGUGUUCAAGUGACAAAAAAGUUCAAGAUCAAAGAAACAGAUCACGGGUGGAUGUGUUUUUCAAAUAUGGAAUAUUAAAUUGGCAAAGAUCAAGCACAACAUACAGAUCAUGGACAAAGGUGUUGUUAGAUCUGGAGCACAAACG